AACCGCCCCGCCACCUGAGCGUCUCCCCGCGAGGCGCUGAGGCGGCGGGGUAAGGGUGAAAGGGUGGGGUAAGAGCCCACCGCGUCUCCGGUAACGGCGACGGCACGGUAAACCCCACCGGGAGCAAGACCGAAUAGGGAUGACGCGGCGAAAGCCGGCCGGUUCCCGGCCAGUCAUCCGGGUAGGUUGCUUGAGGCGCGUCGCAAGGCGCGUCCCAGAGGAAUGGCUGCCACGUUUCCGUCCCCGGACGGAAGCCAUACAGAACCCGGCUUACAGGCCGGCUGGCACA
rnacentral:RNase_P_RNA from 1 species